UUUUUUUUUUUUUUUUUUUUUUUUUUUUUUUUUUUUUUUUUUUUUUUUUUUUUUUCAGCUCUCUUUGUUGGUCACUUUUCAAACCAAAACG
rnacentral:ribozyme from 1 species